CCCAAUGGACUGCAGCAUGCCAGAUUUCCCUGUCCUUCGCUAUCUCCUGGAGUUGGCUCAAACUCAUGUCAUUGAGUCGGUGAUGCCAUCCAACGGUCUCAUCCUCUGUUGCCUCCUUGUCUUCCUGCCCUCAACUUUUCCCAGCAGCAGAGCCUUUUCUAAUGAGAUGG